AACGAACGCUGGCGGCAGGCUUAACACAUGCAAGUCGAACGGGCGUAGCAAUACGUCAGUGGCAGACGGGUGAGUAACGCGUGGGAAUCUACCCAGUUCUACGGAACAACUCAGGGAAACUUAAGCUAAUACCGUAUACGCCCCCCUUUGGAGACAUUGGGGGGGAAAGAUUUAUCGGAAUUGGAUGAGCCCGCGUUGGAUUAGCUAGUUGGUGGGGUAAUGGCCCACCAAGGCGACGAUCCAUAGCUGGUCUGAGAGGAUGAUCAGCCACAUGGGGACUGCGACACGGCCCAAACUCCUGCGGGAGGCAGCAGUGGGGAAUAUUGGACAAUGGGCGAAAGCUUGAUCCAGCCAUGCCGCGUGAGUGAUGACGGCCUUAGGGUUGUAAAGCUUUUUCACCGGUGAAGAUAAUGACGGUAACCGGAGAAGAAGCCCCGGCUAACUUCGUGCCAGCCGCCGCCGUAAGAC
rnacentral:rRNA from 1 species